rnacentral:lncRNA from 10 species
UCUGCUUAUCUGUCACUGAGCUUUAUUUGUAGUGUGAUUUUUGUACUUGUGGAGAUUCAGGUUUCACCCUGGAAAAAUUUGGAUGUGUAGUUUGAAAACUGAAAAAAGUCUCAGGUAGUUUUUGUCUCUUCUGGGGAUUAAGGUCUCCUCCUCUCCCCAGCCCUGCCAAUCGACUGCCACCCCUUCCCCCAAAAAAGUAAGUUUCAACAGUCAGAAAUACGGUUAUUGUUUAGUGACUAAUGUUAUUAAAUUUUCCGUCCUUAGUUUAUUAAUAAUAGAUUUUAGUCCACAGAGAUAAUACAGAUCUCUGCCUAGAUAAUAAGACAGGACCUCAAAUCUCUUACCUUAAAAAACAAAAGCAAAAUUAAAAAGUAUAAAACAGAACAUUUACUUUUUUCAUUGGUGAAAGCUGCAAGAUUCUUACCCUGUUUCCUUCUCUUCUAGUUUAUUUUACUUAAAUAAAUAGCACCAGAUGUGCACAGUGUACCAAGCUAUUUUGGAAUAUAUGAAUCAGUGUCUUAUAAGGAGAGAGGAUAAGAACCUUUCCUACCUAGACUUCUGACUCUGUUCAGAUUGCAGACAUUUGCAGCUUCUGCAGCAGCCCUAAGGUUGAGUGAAGGACAGUGAUGUUGACUGGGAAUUUCUGAGUAAAGCUUUGGCUGUGCUUAUGUCAUCUGCUAAUCAGGAGCACCUCUCUAUCAGAUCCAAAUGCUUUCCAAUCUGAAGACCAAAAACGUUCCCUAUAGGCUCAGUUAGCUAUUUUUCUAGAAUACGAUGCCAAUUACAUAGGAUUUUUAUAUUUUUACAGCUGCUGAUGUUAUAUCAAAAGUUAUCCUGUGUGAAACCUGUGGGAAGUUGAAUGUGUUUAUUUGGUAGCAUUUUGUGAAUAUUGUCUUUGUGUGCUUUACUGUAUUUUGUUUUAAACUCUUUAAACACAGUUAUUUUAUGGUCAUUUCUGGAUAUCAGCUGCUUAUUUAUUUUUCAGAUGCUUCAAAAUGAAUAAAAUGCAUUUCAUGGUGGGGGAAACUAAGAAAACACUUUGACAGAAUUAGUUCCUUUCUAUGAGCAAUUGGAGAUUAUUACAUUGCACUAAUUAAACUAUGCCAUGCUGCAUUUAAAGAGAAUGGGCUAAAUAGUUCAUUCUUUUUAUCUGAGUUUAGACCUGUUCUAAAACUGAAACAGUGUGAUGAACUAACCUGCGUUUCUUGUGGCAAUGUCAGAUGAUCUAGACUUCUUCCUUUCAAAAUAUUGCCUGUUUCCUUGUUUGUUUGUUUGUUUUCCUAAAUGAAGUUUGGUCUCUCUUUGAGUUCGGACCUAUACAAUAUCCACAAAGUAGAAGGCCUCCAUUUUAGAAUCAUUCCUAGUAAGCUGGGGACAGAGCAGUUGCUAUCACUGGACUAGUUCAUUUUAUGCAAUUCCAGAUUGCCUGUGAGCUCAUAUUGCCAGUUUCAUAAAGAACUUUAUUUUCUUUCUUUCUUUUUUUUUUUUUUGAGACCG